rnacentral:rRNA from 1 species
UACGUAGGGGGCAAGCGUUGUCCGGAAUCAUUGGGCGUAAAGCGCGCGUAGGCGGCCCGGUAAGUCCGCUCUGAAAGUCCAAGGCUCAACCCUGGAAAGCGGGUGGAUACUGCCGGGCUAGAAUCCGGAAGAGGCGAGUGGAAUUCCUGGUGUAGCGGUGGAAUGCGCAGAUAUCAGGAGGAACACCAAUAGCGAAGGCAGCUCGCUGGGACGGUAUUGACGCUAAGGCGCGAAAGCGUGGGGAGCAAACAGG